AUAUUUUUAUUUAUUACAUACUCUCUGAAUAGUUCAUUCUUUAUCUACAAUUAGACUUUUAUAAUAAAAGUAUGUAGAAUCAGAGAAAAAAUAUUUUGUUUGCCUUUUAUUACGUGAAUAAAAGAAUUAGAAAUUGAGAUAAUUAGUGAUUCGAGAAAAGAAGAGCAAGCAGUUCAAUUAAGAAAGCCUUUUAUUAACGUAGAUCCGGGGGAUACAGAUGGUAAAAGAAGAAUACUCUGAUUGGAAAGAUUUGAGUCGCAUAUUUGAAAGAUAAGAACAAACAAAAAAAGGAGCAUGGGUGCCAAUGUGGUCGGUAUUAAUAAAAGUGUUGGAACAAGAAUCCUGUAUAGUAAUCCAAGAGCACUUUACACGCCUUGUGGAUGCGACAUUUGGAAUUUAAAAUCUAUUUGCUUCUUUAAAGUCGAGCAAGCGUUGCGAAGAUGCCAAAACUAAGUUGCAAAAAUUCAGCCCAUAGAACUGUAUGAGGAACUCCUGCUUUUAAAAUCGAAUUUGCUAGACUUAAUCAAUGAUAUAAUCCAAAUCAUCCAGUAUAUUCAAGAAAAUAAUUUAGAGAAGUAUAUCCGAAUAUAUAUAUAGUAACCAGAAUUAUGUUCGUAGUUUCAAUCAGUACAGUUCUCGCUGACAGAAGUUUCUCAAAGUUAAAAUUGAUUAGGACCUAUUUGAGAAGUACGAUAAGCCAAGAGAAACUAUCUGAAUUGGCAAUUCUUCCAAUUAAAGCGAAAAUAGCCGCUGGUGCAAAUGAUGACAUAAUUGUAAAAAAAAUUUGCAAUAAAAUGUUCAUGCAGGCUUUGUCAUAUUAGCAAAUCUAAAUUAUUUACUUAUAUAAAUCAGUAAUAAAAGGCGCCUCGCAAUUCUGAUUUCGCCGACGUCCAGAGUUGGACUAGCUCCGCCAUUGAUUAACUUUUAUG